rnacentral:rRNA from 1 species
GAUGAACGCUGGCGGCGUGCCUAAUACAUGCAAGUCGAACGCUGAUGGAGUUGCUUUCUUUUCUGGAUGAGUUGCGAACGGGUGAGUAACGCGUAGGUAACCUGCCUGGUAGCGUGGGAUAACUUUUGGAAACUAUAGCUAAUACCGCAUGACAACACCUACUGCAUGAUAAUUGUUUAAAAGUGGCAGCUGCUCCGCUUCCAGUUGCACCUGCUUUGCUUUGGCUAGUGGGUGAGGUACCGCCUCACCAAGGCGGUGAUCCUUAGCCGACGGGAGAGGUUGAGCGGCCAGACUGGGACGGAGACACGGCCCAGACGGCUACAGGAGGGAGCAGUAGGGAAACUGCGGCAAGGGGCGGAAGGCUGAGCGAGCAACGCCGCGUGAGUGAAGAAGGUUGUCGGAUCGGAAAGGUCUGUUGUAAGAGAAGAAAGAGUGUGAGAGUGGAAAGUUGACACUGUGACGGUAUCUGAUCAGAAAGGGACGGCUAACUACGUG